rnacentral:rRNA from 1 species
GACGAACGCUGGCGGCGUGCUUAACACAUGCAAGUCGAACGGAAAGGCCCUGCUUUUGUGGGGUGCUCGAGUGGCGAACGGGUGAGUAACACGUGAGUAACCUGCCCUUGACUUUGGGAUAACUUCAGGAAACUGGGGCUAAUACCGGAUAGGAGCUCCUGCUGCAUGGUGGGGGUUGGAAAGUUCCGGCGGUUGGGGAUGGACUAGCGGCUUAUCAGCUUGUUGGUGGGGUAGUGGCUUACCAAGGCUUUGACGGGUAGCCGGCCUGAGAGGGUGACCGGCCACAUUGGGACUGAGAUACGGCCCAGACUCCUACGGGAGGCAGCAGUGGGGAAUAUUGCACAAUGGGCGGAAGCCUGAUGCAGCAACGCCGCGUGCGGGAUGACGGCCUUCGGGUUGUAAACCGCUUUCGCCUGUGACGAAGCGUGAGUGACGGUAAUGGGUAAAGAAGCACCGGCUAACUACGUG